AAUAAACCCAGUUAUAUGUUUUUGUACCCACCUUUAAUCAUUCAUCUUAUUUAAAAUAUUUUUAUAAUAUUUUUAUUGUUAUUAGAUGAUAAAAUAUGAAUAUUACUUUAUAGGUGACUUAAAUUUUAAAAUUCUUUUAUAAAUUUUUUAAAUAAGACGGAUAGUCAAACGUUGAGCACGGAAAUUGAUGACUGUAUUUAUA
rfam:Oryza meridionalis cultivar OR44 (W2112) chromosome 1, whole genome shotgun sequence.